GAUGAACGCUAGCUACAGGCUUAACACAUGCAAGUCGAGGGGCAUCACAGUGUAGCAAUACACGGGUGGCGACCGGCGCACGGGUGCGUAACACGUAUCCAAUCUGCCCGUUACUCGGGGAUAGACUUCUGAAAGGAAGAUUAAUACCCGAUGGCAUGUAUUUCCGGCAUCGGAGAUACAUUAAAGAUUAAUCGGUAACGGACGGGGAGGCGUACGAUUAGCUGGUUGGCGGGGUAACGGCCCACCAAGGCGACGAUCGUUAGGGAUUCUGAGAGGAAGGUCCCCCACACUGGAACUGAGACACGGUCCAGACUCCUACGGGAGGCAGCAGUGAGGAAUAUUGGUCAAUGGGCGCGAGCCUGAACCAGCCAAGUAGCGUGAAGGAUGACUGCCCUACGGGUUGUAAACUUCUUUUGUUUGGGAAUAAAUGAUACUACGUGUAGUAUUUUGCAUGUACCUUACGAAUAAGCAUCGGCUAAUUCCGUGCCAGCCGCCGCCGUAAAAC
rnacentral:rRNA from 1 species